AGGGAACUCCGGCCCCGCGGGUGGGAAGCGGCGUCCCUGCGUGUCCGCGGAGCACAACGCCCACGUGUCGCAGAGCAGGGUGAUUCUCAGCCUGCAGUGGGGAGACCCAGUCCCACGUGGUGGCCGCCCUGGGAGUGGCCCUGUGACUUCACGUGGAUGGUCUGCAGCAUCCCAGGAGAGACGGCACAGGGCCUCACUCAAGCAAGCAAGACACACACGCUGGCCGGAUUUUAACUGUGGCUUCAUGAUUGCCUUGGAAUACGUGAAGCUCUUCGUGCUCCAAGAAAUUGUGCUGUGAUUGCAGCCCAUUCGAUUCCGAAGAACUGUCUUGAAUUCCAGUGAGUUUAUAAAGGAAAAAAUAAAUGAUGUAUAAAUAAAACUCGUGAGGUGGGCAGGUGGCGGAAAGCCGUUGUUCAAAGUCCUCGGGGAUCUAUUUCCAGGGCUUUUGCUCAUCAGACCGCUCUCUUUCAAAGGGAAACCGUGCUGCUGGUGUUUCCUCCGUGUAUAGCAAAAAUAACCUGUCUGACGCUGGGACGGGCAGCUGAAAUCCAGGCUUGCUCGUGAGCCUUUGAGCCUGCGGAAGACGGGGAGUGUGGACCCCGGUCCGCGCUGGCCUCCAGGAGCCCUGGUCCCGGGAACAGAUGAAUGAGCUCGGCCGUCCCCUCCUGCUGGUGCUCCCGAGGCACCGGCUCACUUUCUG
rnacentral:lncRNA from 1 species